rnacentral:rRNA from 1 species
AGAGUUUGAUCCCGGCUCAGAAUCAACGCUGGCGGCGCGCUUAACACAUGCAAGUCGAACGAGAAAGGGGAGCAAUCCCUGAGUAAAGUGGCGCACGGGUGAGUAACACGUGGGUAAUCUACCUGUUAGUGGGGAAUAACUUUGGGAAACCGAAGCUAAUACCGCAUAAGUCCGAGAGGAGAAAGUCGCAAGACGCUGACAGAAGAGCCCGCGGCCGAUUAGCUAGUUGGUGAGGUAAUGGCUCACCAAGGCAUCGAUCGGUAGCCGGCCUGAGAGGGCACACGGCCACACUGGCACUGAAACACGGGCCAGACUCCUACGGGAGGCAGCAGUGGGGAAUCUUGCACAAUGGGGGAAACCCUGAUGCAGCGACGCCGCGUGAGCGAUGAAGCCCUUCGGGGUGUAAAGCUCUUUCGGCAGGGACGAUAAUGACGGUACCUGCAGAAGCAGCUGCGGCUAACUACGUGCCAGCAGCCGCGGUAAUACGUAGGCAGCAAGCGUUGUUCGGAAUUACUGGGCGUAAAGAGUGCGUAGGCUGUUUGUCAAGUUCGGUGUGAAAUCUCCUGGCUCAACUGGGAGGGUGCGCCGGAAACUGGCAGACUAGAGUGUGGGAGAGGAAAGUGGAAUUCCUGGUGUAGCGGUGAAAUGCGUAGAUAUCAGGAGGAACACCGGAGGUGAAGACGGCUUUCUGGACCAUAACUGACGCUGAGGCACGAAAGCGUGGGUAGCAAACAGGAUUAGAUACCCUGGUAGUCCACGCCCUAAACGAUGUCAACUGGUUGUUGGGAGGGUUCCUUCUCAGUAACGAAGCUAACGCGUGAAGUUGACCGCCUGGGGAGUACGGCCGCAAGGUUGAAACUCAAAGGAAUUGACGGGGGCCCGCACAAGCGGUGGAGCAUGUGGUUUAAUU